GCUGGGCAUGGUAGUGCACACCUAUAAUCCCAGCUGCUCUGGAGGCUGAGGCAGGAGGAUUGUGAAUUCAAAGUCAGAAUCAGCAAAAAUGAGGUGCUAAGCAACUCAGUGAGACCCUGUCUCUA
rnacentral:sRNA from 1 species